UAACGUUAGACACAUCGCUGCACCGUGUGGCGAAGGUAAAACUCGAGAUAUUAUUCAAACAUAGUUUAUAAGCUUGGAUUAGCGGUAACUGUGGACAUUUAUCGAACAGAUUGAUGUAUUCAGGUCCUCUGGGCGUUGAAUCAUAUCAUCUUACUCGUGUGUGUCUGCUGAUUUCGGAUUCAAUAAAACACCACAUACUACAAUGUCCACGUGCAAAGCGGUCGUGUUGGCGGUGAUUCUUGCGCUGUGCACGGGUAUCUCGAGGUGCCAGUGUCCAGCGACGUGCCAUUGCGACGGAACUGACGUAAUAUGCAAUGGACAACAGCUGUUGACCAUACCCCUUUCCCUACCGGACGCUACCACUACCUUGU